rnacentral:rRNA from 1 species
CCUACGGGCGGCUGCAGUGAGGAAUAUUGGUCAAUGGUCGUAAGCCUGAACCAGCCAAGUCGCGUGAGGGAUGAAGGUUCUGUGGAUCGUAAACCUCUUUUAUAAGGGAAUAAAGUGCGGGACGUGUCCCGUUUUGUAUGUACCUUAUGAAUAAGUAUCGGCUAACUCCGUGCCAGCAGCCGCGGUAAUACGGAGGAUCCGAGCGUUAUCCGGAUUUAUUGGGUUUAAAGGGUGCGUAGGCGGGCUUUUAAGUCAGCGGUGAAAGUCUGUGGCUCAACCAUAGGAUUGCCGUGGAAACUGGGAGGCUUGAGGAUGUGAGAGGCAGGCGGAAUGCGUGGUGUAGCGGUGAAAUGCAUAGAUAUCACGCAGAACCCCGAUUGCGAAGGCAGCCUGCCAGGCCAUGACUGACGCUGAUGCACGAAAGCGUGGGGAUCAAACAGGAUUAGAUACCCUGGUAGUC